UUCAGAACGUCACAUUGGCUUCCUGAUUCUGUUGUUCGAUACACAACGUGCGUGAUCGUUGGUAAAUGUGGAUUAAAAGUUGAAACUAAAACUGUUAAAUUAUAUAUAGUGAUCAUCAGAGGACUUGGCUGAAACAACGCGAUUCACAUGGAUUACUUCGGCGAUGUUUUUUAUUGCUGUUGCGAUUAACUUUUUGAAAUGUGAGCAGUUUUUAAGUAUCAAGUGGAUCUGACAUCGAGGGGAAAUAUACGUUUCUUGGAUUUCAUUAAAGUACAUCGGUUUUUGUUUGAAGAUGAAUGAGAGAACAUGAGGCACAGCGGCAUUCAAAUUGACCAUUCAGAGCCGAGAAUAUCUAAUAAGUCGAGGUAGAGAUGAACAGAUGAAGAUACAGCCCGUAAAAAUACUUAUUCUUGGUGAGUGCCAUGUAGCGACGGAUCAAACGGACACUCAUGUCAAGCUUGAUGAGGACACAGUCAAAGCUUUAAAAGACCUUGUGAUUAAGUCUUCAGUGUCUGAAUGGCAAGAAGAAGUGACCCUCCACUAAAACGUGACAUUUAAACAGCUCUGUGUUUUAGUUCGCCAAUUUGUAGGUUUAUCUCGAGUUAUGCUGCUUUCCAGGCAGGUUUUUAAACCCGUGAGUUACGACUUCAAAACCACGACUCACGAC